GAUGAACGCUGGCGGCGUGCUUAACACAUGCAAGUCGAACGGUGAAGCAGGAGCUUGCUCUUGUGGAUCAGUGGCGAACGGGUGAGUAACACGUGAGCAACCUGCCCCUGACUCUGGGAUAAGCGCUGGAAACGGCGUCUAAUACUGGAUAUGUGAUGUGACCGCAUGGACUGCAACUGGAAAGAAUUUCGGUUGGGGAUGGGCUCGCGGCCUAUCAGCUUGUUGGUGAGGUAAUGGCUCACCAAGGCGUCGACGGGUAGCCGGCCUGAGAGGGUGACCGGCCACACUGGGACUGAGACACGGCCCAGACUCCUACGGGAGGCAGCAGUGGGGAAUAUUGCACAAUGGGCGGAAGCCUGAUGCAGCAACGCCGCGUGAGGGAUGACGGCCUUCGGGUUGUAAACUUCUUUUAGCAGGGAAGAAGCGAAAGUGACGGUACCUGCAGAAAAAGCACCGGCUAACUACGUGCCAGCCGCCGCCGUAA
rnacentral:rRNA from 1 species